UGAUCAUGGCUCAGGAUGAACGCUGGCGGCGUGCUUAACACAUGCAAGUCGAACGAACCUUCGGGUUAGUGGCGGACGGGUGAGUAACGCGUGAGAAUCUGCCCUCAGGAGGGGGAUAACGGUUGGAAACGACCGCUAAUACCCCAUAUGCCUACUGGUGAAAUGAAUUUCGCCUGAGGAUGAGCUCGCGUCUGAUUAGCUUGUUGGUGAGGUAAUGGCUCACCAAGGCUUCGAUCAGUAGCUGGUCUGAGAGGAUGAUCAGCCACACUGGGACUGAGACACGGCCCAGACUCCUACGGGAGGCAGCAGUGGGGAAUUUCCCGCAAUGGGCGAAAGCCUGACGGAGCAACGCCGCGUGAGGGACGAAGGCCUCUGGGCUGUAAACCUCUUUUCUCAAGGAAGAAGAUAUGACGGUACUUGAGGAAUAAGCCACGGCUAAUUCCGUGCCAGCAGCCGCGGUAAUACGGGAGUGGCAAGCGUUAUCCGGAAUUAUUGGGCGUAAAGCGUCCGCAGGCGGCUUUUCAAGUCUGCUGUUAAAGCGUGGAGCUUAACUCCAUCAUGGCAGUGGAAACUGAAAGGCUUGAGUAUGGUAGGGGCAGAGGGAAUUCCCGGUGUAGCGGUGAAAUGCGUAGAUAUCGGGAAGAACACCAGUGGCGAAGGCGCUCUGCUGGGCCAUUACUGACGCUCAUGGACG
rnacentral:rRNA from 1 species